rnacentral:rRNA from 1 species
AGGGUUUGAUCAUGGCUCAGGAUGAACGCUAGCGGCAGGCUUAAUACAUGCAAGUCGAGGGGCAGCAGGACUGUAGCAAUACAGUUGCUGGCGACCGGCAAACGGGUGCGGAACACGUACGCAAUCUACCCAAAACUGGUGAAUAGCCUUCCGAAAGGAAGAUUAAUACACCGUAACCUAAUUGUAGUGGCAUCACUAUAUUAGUAUAGCUCCGGCGGUUUUGGAUGAGCGUGCGGCUGGUUAGAUAGUUGGUGUGGGUAACGGCCCACCAAGUCUGCGAUCAGUAACUGGUGUGAGAGCACGACCAGUCACACGGGCACUGAGACACGGGCCCGACUCCUACGGGAGGCAGCAGUAAGGAAUAUUGGUCAAUGGACGCAAGUCUGAACCAGCCAUGCCGCGUGAAGGAUGAAGGUCCUCUGGAUUGUAAACUUCUUUUAUAGGGGACGAAACCUCUUUUUUCUAAAGAGACUGACGGUACCCUAGGAAUAAGCACCGGCUAACUCCGUGCCAGCAGCCGCGGUUAAUACGGAGGGUGGCAAGCGUUAUCCGGAUUCACUGGGGUUUUAAAGGGGUGCGUAGGAGGGCAGGUAAGUCAGUGGUGAAAUCUCUGGGCUCAACCCGGAAACUGCCGUUGAUANUAUCUGUCUUGGAUACUGUGGAAGGUGAGCGGAAUAUGUCAUGG